CAGCCGCCGCGGUAAUACGGAGGGGGCUAGCGUUGUUCGGAAUUACUGGGCGUAAAGCGCACGUAGGCGGCUUUGUAAGUUAGAGGUGAAAGCCCGGAGCUCAACUCCGGAAUUGCCUUUAAGACUGCAGAGCUAGCAGGUGAGAGAGGUGAGUGGAAUUCCGAGUGUAGAGGUGAAAUUCGUAGAUAUUCGGAAGAACACCAGUGGCGAAGGCGGCUCACUGGCUCAUACUGGACGCUGAGGUGCGAAAGCGUGGGUAGCAAACAGGAUUAGAUACCCCCGUAGUCCCUGUCUCUUAUAC
rnacentral:rRNA from 1 species